AACGAACGUUAGCGGCGCGCUUAACACAUGCAAGUCGAACGAGAAAGGGCUCUUCGGAGCCCCGGUAAAGUGGCGCACGGGUGAGUAACACGUAGGUAACCUACCCUUCGGUGGGGGAUA
rnacentral:rRNA from 1 species